rnacentral:rRNA from 1 species
GAUGAACGCUGGCGGCGUGCCUAAUACAUGCAAGUCGAGCGAACAGACGAGGAGCUUGCUCCUCUGACGUUAGCGGCGGACGGGUGAGUAACACGUGGAUAACCUACCUAUAAGACUGGGAUAACUUCGGGAAACCGGAGCUAAUACCGGAUAAUAUAUUGAACCGCAUGGUUCAAUAGUGAAAGACGGUUUUGCUGUCACUUAUAGAUGGAUCCGCGCCGCAUUAGCUAGUUGGUAAGAUGACGGCUUACCAAGGCAACGAUGCGUAGCCGACCUGAGAGGGUGAUCGGCCACACUGGAACUGAGACACGGUCCAGACUCCUACGGGAGGCAGCAGUAGGGAAUCUUCCGCAAUGGGCGAAAGCCUGACGGAGCAACGCCGCGUGAGUGAUGAAGGUCUUCGGAUCGUAAAACUCUGUUAUUAGGGAAGAACAAAUGUGUAAGUAACUAUGCACGUCUUGACGGUACCUAAUCAGAAAGCCACGGCUAACUACGUG